GAAGAAGCCAUUCCCCAAAAAAAAUUCAAAUGAAGUCUCCUUUCUCCCAAAAUUUUCAGCUCCUCUCUCCCCUCUCUCCUUCCUCCCGUCAGUGCAGCUUCUCCCUCCCCCUAUGAACGUCGCGACCUCUCUCCCUCCUUCCUGUAGAUCAGCCAUCCCUUAGUGCGACGGCGUGGACCCGAAUUCUUUCCCUCACCCUUCUCCCUCCAAGCAGAGCUGGCCACCAACAAGCAGUAUAGCCGCCGCCGACAGUGCCGCCGCCCACCACCAGCAGUGCCUCCGCCACCGGUUGCUGUUCUGGAGGUGGUACUUAAGGGGAUUGCAUCAUCUAGUCGGUUGGCCAGAAGAUGGAAAGUUCUACUUCGAUGUGGGAUGCAUUGUUUUCAUACCUCCCUGUUUCGAUGUUUCUACUGAUUCCACCUCAGAGGCAACUAUAAAUGACGUAUGUCAUGAAAUCUUUCACUGGAUCAACAAUUUUGAAGUUAUUUGAGAGCUGCCUUUUAUAUUUUUGACAUUAUCUUAUAUGGCAGAUAGGGAGAGACUAUUG